AGUGAACGCUGGCGGUAGGCCUAACACAUGCAAGUCGAACGGCAGCACAGUAAGAGCUUCCUCUUCCGGUUGGGGGGGGGCGGAGGGGUGAGAAAUACAUCGGAAUCUCCUUUUUGGGGGGGAAUAACGGGGGAAAACUUCCCCUAAUACCGCAUACUCCCAACGGGUGAAAGCAGGGGAUCUUCGGACCUUGCGCGUUUGAUUGAGCCGAUGUCGGAUUAGCUAGUUGGCGGGGUAAAGGCCAACCAAGGCGACGAUCCGUAGCUGGCCUGAGAGGUUGAUCAGCCACACUGGAACUGAGACACGGUCCAGACUCCUACGGGAGGCAGCAGUGGGGAAUAUUGGACAAUGGGCGCAAGCCUGAUCCAGCAAUGCCGCGUGAGUGAAGAAGGCCUUCGGGUCGUAAAGCUCUUUUGUUAGGGAAGAAAAGCAGCAGGUUUAUACCCCGCUGUUUUGACGGUACCCAAAGAAUAAGCAACGGCUAACUUCGUG
rnacentral:rRNA from 1 species